UACAGAGGUCUCAAGCGUUGUUCGGAUUCAUUGGGCGUAAAGGGCGCGUAGGCGGUCAGUGCAAGUCAGUUGUGAAAUCUCCGAGCUUAACUCGGAAAGGUCAACUGAUACUGCUCGACUAGAGUGCGGAAGGGGCAACUGGAAUUCUUGGUGUAGCGGUGAAAUGCGUAGAUAUCAAGAGGAACACCUGCGGCGAAGGCGGGUUGCUGGGCCGACACUGACGCUGAUGCGCGAAAGCUAGGGGAGCGAACGGG
rnacentral:rRNA from 1 species